AUACGGAGGGUGCGAGCGUUGUUCGGAAUCACUGGGCGUAAAGCGCGUGUAGGCGGAUCGGUAAGUCGGAUGUGAAAUCCCUGGGCUCAACCCAGGAGGUGCAUUCGAUACUGUCGGUCUUGAGUACGUGAGAGGAGAGCGGAAUUCCUAGUGUAGAGGUGAAAUUCGUAGAUAUUAGGAAGAACACCGGUGGCGAAGGCGGCUCUCUGGCACGAUACUGACGCUGAGACGCGAAAGCGUGGGGAGCAAACAGGAGUAGAAACCCGGGUAGUCC
rnacentral:rRNA from 1 species